rnacentral:rRNA from 1 species
UGCCAGCAGCCGCGGUAAGACGGAGGGCGCAAGCGUUGUUCGGAAUUACUGGGCGUAAAGGGCGGGCAGGUGGUCUGUUAAGUCGUUUGUGAAAAUCCGGGGCUCAACCCCGCGAAAUGCAGACGAUACUGGCAGACUAGAGAUCGGUAGAGGCUAGCGGAAUUCCUGGUGUAGCGGUGGAAUGCGUAGAUAUCAGGAAGAACACCUGUGGCGAAGGCGGUUAGCUGGGCCGAAUCUGACACUCAUCCGCGAAAGCGUGGGGAGCAAACAGGAUUAGAUA